rnacentral:misc_RNA from 1 species
AUGGCAGAGUGUGAAAAUGGUAUUCAGACAUUAUCAUCGCUCUCGAUUGAAAACAGUAUUGUGUUUUUGCAGGAGUUAGUUUGUCGUUUUGUGAAUAUUGAAUUUAGUGAAUCUUGUGCUGCAUUCUUACGAGAGUUAAUGAGGUCGAUUCCUCCAAACUUCCACGCCGAGUUCCUCGAUAAAUUAGCUCCGAUUUUUGACAACGUUACGGAGGCUCCCUUAGAUAAAAAUAUACUUGACGUUAUAGAUGAGUUGGCAUUAAUGUUGUUAUCGCCGUCUAUAACGCAGAUUGAUGUUGAUAAGUUCAAGUUUCCCACGAGAAAUCCUUCCAAAUAUUUAAUGGCUCUGGAACAUGCCAAGAGCCUCAGAAUGCUAAUCAGCUAUCGAGAAAAUGUGUGGAAAUAUUCUCUAAGUAAAUUUGAACUUCUCUGCUCAGCGGUGACUAAAAUGUCAAUGCUGAGGCACCUAACGUUACGCCAUAUUAAAAUUGCCAGCUACAAAAUUAAUGAGCUGUUAUUGGGUUUGGCUUUAAAUAGUCCUCAUCUCUCAUAUUUGGACUUAAAGUUUGGUGCAUUAACAGACUCAGGACUUGAUCCAGGGUCGUUGGAGAAGUUUGGAAAAAUUGCACAUUUCUCCGAUUGUAUUCCUGCUUUGUUGAUGAUGAAAAACCUGCAACAUCUCAACGUAAGCGAGACGUGGUUAACGUAUGUGGGUGUAAAGGCAAUAGUGAAGCAUUUAGACCUCAAGAGACUAGACGCCGUAGUAGAUGGUGGAUACGAUCUCCAGGCCGUAGUGAUAAAGGAUUUGCUAGCGGCACCCCAAGACACCCCAUUCUCACUAUCCAGAACAGCAUAUACUCUUGCUCACGAGGAAUUGGGUAUACAAGCUAUCUGUAAAGCGUGUCCACUACUAGAACACGUCACCAUACAACACUGUAGCGUUGGACUAGUCAAGUCUCAUUUCCUCGCUCUUUCAACCCUCCAACAUUUAAAGAAGGUCACAUUGUGUGGUCUGGAAUGGUUACUCCUUCACUCCCACAUUGCAAUCAACGAGGACCCCAUGCCCAUCAGCCACCUGGUGACGGAGAUAACGAUGACAGAACCCUCGUGUGCCGACGCGACGCACCUCGGUUCCUUGUCUAUAUGUUUCCCACAAGUGACUCACCUGUGGGUGCUCGGAUCACAGGACAAUAAGAGCGGCGAACCCUGGGAUGGAGGCCGAGUCUUCACCAAAUUGACUCAUCUUUACUACCAGGGUUCGCUCUUUAUUGGAGAUUUUGGCAGAAUUGAGAGAGAACAAGGGCUGCAGAAUGUGCUUGAUGUCUUACUUGCAUGGUGCAAAAACCUGAGGAGUCUCACCCUCUACACUAACUACAUCGAGAGCUCUAUGGCAAUUUGGCGCCCCCCUUACCUUGGGGUCCAGGGAGGCUGCCCCUUCUGCCACCCACUAGUUAAGCUUUGCCAUAAGAAGAAAUGGGCUACAUAGACUGGAGGAACUAAGACUUGGUUUGCAGCAUGAUCUGAAUUGCGACAUAAUAAUGGACGUGCUGCGAACUACUAACGAUCUCAGAAUUCUGGGUCGGACUGACUGGUGGACGUCCAUGGAAGAAGAUUCAAAAGUCUUCACCAUCACGCUCUUGAAAUUGAGAUUUAGGAACCUUGUGGUGUUUGGACUAGAUUAUUGUGGUGAAGUGGACAAUGACCCACGACCUCCAAAGAAUAAUUCCAAUAAUGUUGUGUGGUAACUGAUCGAAUACUGUCGCUGGCUGACAAGUGUAUAAUGGUGUAAGUGCAAUGCUUGCUCACACUUUCAUAUUGGUUUUAUAAAUUUUUCAUAGUUGCCUGUAGAGGAGAUAUUAUAAGGCUUCAUCCAUCUUCAUAAGAAAUGUAAAGUGAAUUAGUGUUUGUGUUUUAUGCAUUUUUUUUUAUUUAUACUGCAGUAAAUCAGCUUGCUGCUCGGAGGCAAGCAGUCAACAUGGAGUCAUCCCAUAAAAUAAGUUUUUCCUCAUUUGCUGAAUUGUCCAUCAAAACAAAGAAAAAGUAAUAAAAAGCUUUUUUGAUAAAACAAUUUUUGAUGAGAACCUUAGAAAGUCUCAGUUAUGAUUAGAGUUGCUGAGUCAUCUUAAGUAGAUGUAGAACACAAUGCAUUUUUAAAUUACCAGUAGCUGCAAGAUACAUCAUGUACUGUAUGUUGAAUGUGAUUUUAUUAUAAUCUACUGAUGCUGUGAAAUUAUGGCCUCUGCUUGACACAGAUAUCCAAUUAUUGUGACUUACUGUUAUACUGUACUGUACGUGGUGAAGGGCCGCAGCAGUAGGCUGGUCGGUGUCCUCGGUGUCCGUCUUGCUGAUGAUGUACGUCAGCUGCAUAAUACCUGUAUAAGGAUAGCAGGAGCUGCAAUACAGCAUUUCACACUUUGAAUACAUCAUCACUAUCAACACCCUAGAACUGCUCUUUCUUGAAGGGUUGAAAGGUCAGGUCACAACUUUGAAAAAGUACCGCCUGCCAUGAGUUGGCACCUCACUCAAGUGCAGAAUAGUUCUUGAUGUAUCCAAGACAAUGAAAUACAGUAAUGGCUCUUGCAUGCUUGUGACACUCAAGCACUGAUACAGCUUAUGUAACUCACAAGUCCUCAGAGGGAGUCUUAACAAAAUCAUCACAUUCAAUAGAUAUGUUUACUUAAUUAAAUCUAGUUUAAUGUCAAAGAUUGCUGUUGUAUUUAUUUACAUGUCAAGCGAGGGGACACCCAUGGGAGGUGUGGCAGCAUAUGUGUGCUCUCUCCCAGAGUUAUACAAUAUGUUAAAAAAACAGUGUGAUGAUCAAUUGUAGAUAGCAUCUUAAACUAUUGUUAUCUUGUGAUGUUAGUUGAAACAUCAUACUUUUGCAUUUAAUGACAAAGUCUACCUACAUUGUGUGUUCAUACAUGUAUGCACUAUUUUUUCUUUUUGUUAUUUUUCUUGAAUAUUGUACAAGCUUUUUCUUGCUAUGAUACAGGUUAGCUAGACAGGUGCUGACUUCCUGGCUCAUAGCAUUUAGCAGCUAGUGAGUCUCCUCAGCCCCUUAGUGUGAUGGUAGUCCACCAAAAAGACUUAGUGCAUCGGGUCUAGUUUACAGGAAAGGAACCAUAUUAUUUGCACAGUUACACAAGGUAAAGCACUUAUUUUACAUCAUUUAUAUACAGACUUCCUUCUUACAGAUGAAUACAAGGAUGACAAGAUGUCCCUAAACUGUAGGGCAGUGUUGAACUACCCACUUGUGACUUGUUCCUUAAAGGGAUCUACACCAUUGUAACAAUGUGGGUAAUGUGUUGGCAACUUUAUUUUUAAAUUACUCGCAAUAUUUGCAACAUUAGUGUUAGGAACAGUGUUUCCAACAGAAACAUGUUGAUGACAGUAUUACCAACAUUGUUGCUUUGGUUUAGAUCCACCUUAACAGAAAAGUGUGUCAGGUUGGUUACUCUAAAACACACACACACACACACAGACACAUACACACGGACACAUACACACUCACACACACACACACACACACA